rnacentral:lncRNA from 1 species
AGUUUACAGCUAGCAGCUAUGAGCAGCUCGGAGUGCUUGAAGAAUCUACACUUGUUCAGGCCUGAUAGGAAUGCCUGCAGGAUGGGAUGCUCUGCUCUAGCGAGCCAUUAGUGAAACCACAUCCUUAGCACUUGUGGUUAGCGUUGCCAAGCUGCCAGGCCAGGAAACUGAUAGCCAGGAGCUUUAGGCAUGGAACUUCUAACUUAGAAAUCCCCUCCCCUAGGGACAAAGACC